rnacentral:sRNA from 1 species
CAUGGAAGAGAUCUUCGGCUCUCUCAACUCCCUGAAACUGGAGAUUGAGCAGAUGAAACGGCCCCUGGGCACGCAGGAGAACCCCGCCCGCACCUGCAAGGACCUGCAGCUCUGCCACCCCGACUUCCCAGAUGGUGAAUACUGGGUCGAUCCUAACCAAGGAUGCUCCAGGGAUUCCUUCAAGGUUUACUGCAACUUCACAGCCGGGGGGUCGACAUGCAUCUUCCCUGACAAGAAGUCCGAAGGGGCCAGAAUCACUUCUUGGCCCAAAGAAAACCCGGGCUCCUGGUUCAGUGAAUUCAAGCGUGGGAAACUGGUAAGGUGGCCUCUGGCGUCUUUGCGGUUGUCACUUUAAACCCGCCCAUCUCGUAUCUUACAGAGUAAAAUGGCCCGCUGGCCCAAAGAGCAGCCUUCCACCUGGUAUAGUCAGUACAAGCGGGGGUCCCUGGUUUGCCUGUAAGGUUCUCGUGGCUGCGUCCGAAAGCGUGGAGUUCGCCGAUAGCCCUGGGGCCGCAGCAUGUUCCCUCGCCCCUGGGAAGGCCCAGGCCCCAGGCUGGCUGCUCACUUUGGGCUCUUUCCAGUG